GCAAUAGUGGUUCAGUGAUAGAAUUCUCCCCUUCCAUGCGGGAGACCCAGGUUCAAUUCCUGGCCAACGCA
rfam:Loxodonta africana unplaced genomic scaffold scaffold_3, whole genome shotgun sequence.